CAGCAGCCGCGGGAAUACGGAGGGAGCUAGCGUUGUUCGGAAUUACUGGGCGUAAAGCGCGCGUAGGCGGUUACUCAAGUCAGAGGUGAAAGCCCGGGGCUCAACCCCGGAACUGCCUUUGAAACUAGGUGACUAGAAUCUUGGAGAGGUCAGUGGAAUUCCGAGUGUAGAGGUGAAAUUCGUAGAUAUUCGGAAGAACACCAGUGGCGAAGGCGACUGACUGGACAAGUAUUGACGCUGAGGUGCGAAAGCGUGGGGAGCAAACAGGAUUAGAGACCCGAGUAGUCCCUGUCUCUUAUAC
rnacentral:rRNA from 1 species